UUUGUUGGAGAUCUCUCCUUGGUGAAGCUUUUUCCCUAUGAACCUGGAAUCUUCUGAUAUGGAUGUUAAAUUCCCCAAGAUGAAGAGGUGUCAGCCUGAUGGAAGGAGUGAUACGAGGACCUUCUUUUUCCUUUGAGCUGGGCUUUCUUUCUUAUUUGAAUCUGUGAAUUUGGCUAUCUACUGCUAGAGAUUUUGAAGAUGGUGCCAUCUAAAAUGAAGUCCCAUUGAAAGAAUGUGUUGUGAUGAAGAGCUGUUGAGUGAGUCACCACAAUCGUGUUGGCAAGGUGGGCUGUGGAGCAGGCCAGAUCCUUACGCUUGGCACGAGACAGCAAAAGCAAAAGAGGAGAGAGAGAAGCUGGAGCCAGGAGCACUGCAGUGCUUGGCCAGCCAGCAGGGCUGGGCUGCAAGUGCUUUCCUUGGUUAAAGCUUUAACCGCUUCAGUAACACAACUCUGCCCAAGUGGAGGCAUUUCCAUGCUGUGCCCUCAUCUGGGCACUGGGAGAUGGGUUUAAGGCAAACAUAGAGGAUGUGUUCUGUGCAAGGAAGGGAUCUGAAAGGUUUUUGCCUUGCCUCUUUCUAUUUUCCCCCUUUUUCCUCCUCUAUGUGAUGGUUAAAAAAUCUUACAGUUUUAUGGAGGCUUUCUCCUAAGAGGGGCCCUUCGCAUCUCUAGUCCAGCACCUGCCCGAAGUUGCAGAAGACUUUCUCCUGAAGAAUGAAGAUUCCACUGCCUGUCCAGCUCACAUCCCAGGGCGGCUGAGCAAACUAUUUUCUUAAGGUUUUUGGUUGGAAAAUCCUUUGCUACCAUUUGUUCCUCUUGCUCCUAGUUAUUUCCCAUUGAUUCCCAUUGACACGCUCCAGUUGUAUCCUACUGAUUUGCCGUGGGGCUGAUUUGCCAUCCAAUCUGGUGGCAUUUCCUUAAUUCUGGAGGACCAAUGUGGCCCUGAUGAUCAAGCCUCAUAGUUGGCCAUUGCCAGUGCAGCCCAGAUAUACUGGAAAUAGCUGUGAAAUGCUCAGGAAAACUUCCACAUCCUGAGAGUUGUGCCCACCUCUGUUUGUAUGCAUGGUGCAUCUCAUCAAUACAAUUUCCUUUUAUUUUCCUGUGGAUUUUUAGAUAUUGGAUUAGAAUUGAGAAUUAAAAGCAGUAAAGCUACUUAAAACAGUU